rnacentral:misc_RNA from 1 species
AAGGAUCAUUAACGUGGGGCUCCGGCCCUGCUGAGAUAGAACCCUUGCCCUUUUGAGUACUACAUGUUUCCUCGGCAGGCCCGCCUGCCAACGGGGACCCAAACACAAACCCUUGAACCACCCGUCACAGUCUGAGAAAACAAGCAAAUAAUCAAAACUUUCAACAACGGAUCUCUUGGUUCUG